ACAAAUAAAACCAAAUAUUUUGUUAACAAGAUGAAAUCCAUCCUAAAGGAAAGAAGCCAGUGAAAGGAGAAUUCAAGAAAAGAAGCCAGUGCAAAGAGA